AUUAAAAAAAGAAUAUAGUUCAAGAAGACACAAUUUCAUGGGACACUUUUUUUGCUUACAAAAAACUCAUCAACUAAAAUAAUCAAAUUAAAAAAAAAACAAUGUUUUUGUUUAAUUUUAUUUACAUAAAUAAGUUGACUUGUCCCCUAUUUUACUUUUGGUUUCUGAUGCUGACUCUUCAUGUUCCAACUGAUUUGUCUCAUGACGAGUUUUAACCCUGUUCUCGUUAAUGCAUUAUGACAUGCAUUCAUUCCGG
rnacentral:lncRNA from 1 species